AGUCGACGAACUUCUUUAUCACCGAGUGCUUGCACUCACCGGUAAAGGGUUGUAGUGGCGAACGGGUGAGUAACACGUGGGCAACCUGCCCAAAAGAGGGGGAUAACACUUGGAAACAGGUGCUAAUACCGCAUAACCAUAGUUACCGCAUGGUAGCUAUGUAAAAGGUGGCUAUGCUACCGCUUUUGGAUGGGCCCGCGGCGCAUUAGCUAGUUGGUGGGGUAAAGGCUUACCAAGGCAAUGAUGCGUAGCCGAACUGAGAGGUUGAUCGGCCACAUUGGGACUGAGACACGGCCCAAACUCCUACGGGAGGCAGCAGUAGGGAAUCUUCCACAAUGGGCGAAAGCCUGAUGGAGCAACGCCGCGUGGGUGAAGAAGGUCUUCGGAUCGUAAAACCCUGUUGUUAGAGAAGAAAGUGCGUGAGAGUAACUGUUCACGUUUCGACGGUAUCUAACCAGAAAGCCACGGCUAACUACGUGCCAGCAGCCGCGGUAAUACGUAGGUGGCAAGCGUUAUCCGGAUUUAUUGGGCGUAAAGGGAACGCAGGCGGUCUUUUAAGUCUGAUGUGAAAGCCUUCGGCUUAACCGGAGUAGUGCAUUGGAAACUGGGAGACUUGAGUGCAGAAGAGGAGAGUGGAACUCCAUGUGUAGCGGUGAAAUGCGUAGAUAUAUGGAAGAACACCAGUGGCGAAAGCGGCUCUCUGGUCUGUAACUGACGCUGAGGUUCGAAAGCGUGGGU
rnacentral:rRNA from 1 species